CCAAAAAGAGAGACACAAUAUAUGUAACGAUCCGACCCGCUAGCAAUAAUAAUUCGUUGGGUCUAAAUCACUGGUUCAAAAUGCUUAAGCCGGGUUAUUAUUACUAGCGUGUAGCCCUCAUAUAAACUGAUCGAAAUUAGUAUCCCAUUCAAUGUGGGAUUAUUGGGGCGUUACAAACUCCCUCCGUUUAAACCCUGACGUUCUCGUUAGGUGCAAACCAAAUCACAGACAGACAGAGUAGGACCAGAUUACCAGGCGAUGUGAGAUUCUAGAGGUGGCUCCUACCGGUUCAAGAAGUCGCUCCCCCAAACCCGUUGGUAUAGCAUUUUGUUCCGCAUAGCACUUAGCUCCCACACUUUCAGCUGGUAUUCGUCUCUGAUACCAAUUGUAACGACCCGACCCGCUAACAAUAAUAAUUCGUUGGGCCUAAACUAUCGGCCCAAAAUACUUAAGCCGAGUUAUUAUUACUAGCAUAUAGGCCUCACAUAAACUGAUCGGAAUCAGUAUCAGCCUAUUGGGGCGUUACAAUGUUCCCUAUAUAGGAAGAGCACUAAAUUAGGAAGGAAUUUCCCACCUUUUCCCCUCACUUUUCUCUCGUAUGUGUAGGCUCUAGCCCAUGCAACUAAAAAGGACACAACAUAGGUGAAGUGAGCAUCUAGGGCUUAAGAAGAGGAACUAAGAAGAGAGAUUCUUUCCCUGCCUUAGUAAACACAAAAAAAUUAAGAGUGUUGGCAAAUGAUUCAUUUCUCUUGUUUGGUCACUAAUUUGUUUUUGAAAAAUAUUAUAUAUGGGAAAACAUCAAAUACCCCCCUUGUGGUUUCGCUUUUUCUCAUUUUAGUACCCUAUGGUUUAAAGUGUAUCAAAUUAGUAGUCUGUGAUUUUGCACCUUUUCACUUUAGUACUAUGUGGUUUAAAGUGUAUCAAGUUAGUACCCUGUGGUUUCGCACUUUCUCACUUUAGUACCCUGUGGUUUAAAGUGUAUCAAGUUAGUACCCUGUGGUUUCGCACUUUCUCACUUUAGUACCUUGUGGUUUCGCAUUUUCGCACUUUAGUACCCGAUGGUUUAAAAACCACAGGAUACUAACAUGAUGCAGAAAUAAAACCAUAAGGUACUAACUUGAUACACUUUAAACCACAUGAUACUAAAGUGAGAAAGUGCGAAACUAUAGGGUACUAACUUGAUACACUUUAAAUCACAGGGUACUAAAAUGAAUAAGUACGAAACCACAGGGGGUUUUUUUUAAAGUUUUCCCAUUAUAU
rnacentral:lncRNA from 1 species